GGAUUUCAUCUUUCGGGAUGAAUGAGAGUGGCGCACGGGUGGGCAACGCGUAUGCAACCUACCUGUUACAGGGAGAUAGCCCGGGGAAACCCGGAUUAAUAUCCCAUAGGAUAUAUUAACUGCAUGGUUUAUAUAUUAAAGCCUUCSGGUGGUAACAGACGGGCAUGCGUAGGAUUAGCUAGUUGGAGAGGUAACGGCUCACCAAGGCGACSAUCCUUAGGGGUUCUGAGAGGAAGGUCCCCCACACUGGCACUGAGAUACGGGCCAGACUCCUACGGGAGGCAGCAGUAGGGAAUAUUGGUCAAUGGGCGAGAGCCUGAACCAGCCAUGCCGCGUGCAGGAAGACGGCGUUCUGCGUUGUAAACUGCUUUUAUCUGGGAAGAAAAAGCCCUUGCGAGGGAAAUUGCCGGUACCAGAAGAAUAAGCACCGGCUAACUCCGUGCCAGCAGCCGCGGUAAUACGGAGGGUGCAAGCGUUGUCCGGAUUUAUUGGGUUUAAAGGGUGCGUAGGCGGCUGAUUAAGUCAGCGGUGAAAGUUCUCGGCUCAACCGAGAGACUGCCGUUGAUACUGGUCAGCUUGAGUUAUGGAGGGGUACAUGGAAUUUAUGGUGUAGCGGUGAAAUGCAUAGAUACCAUAAGGAACACCGAUAGCGAAGGCAUUGUACUGGCCAUAAACUGACGCUGAGGCACGAAAGCGUGGGUAGCGAACAGGAUUAGAUACCCUGGUAGUCCACGCCGUAAACGAUGAUCACUCGCUUUACAUUACGUAGUAAUUUGAGGCCAAGCGAAAGCGUUAAGUGAUCCACCUGGGGAGUACGCCGGCAAC
rnacentral:rRNA from 1 species